rnacentral:tRNA from 1 species
GCGGAUAUGGUAUAGUGGCAUUACGUUGUUUACAUAAGUAUUAUUUUGUAAACAAAAAUGGGAGUUCGAAUCUCCUUAUCCGCA